rnacentral:rRNA from 1 species
GACGAACGCUGGCGGCGUGCUUAACACAUGCAAGUCGAACGGAAAGGCCCUGCUUUUGUGGGGUGCUCGAGUGGCGAACGGGUGAGUAACACGUGAGUAACCUGCCCUUGACUUUGGGAUAACUUCAGGAAACUGGGGCUAAUACCGGAUAGGAGCUCCUGCUGCAUGGUGGGGGUUGGAAAGUUUCGGCGGUUGGGGAUGGACUCGCGGCUUAUCAGCUUGUUGGUGGGGUAGUGGCUUACCAAGGCUUUGACGGGUAGCCGGCCUGAGAGGGUGACCGGCCACAUUGGGACUGAGAUACGGCCCAGACUCCUACGGGAGGCAGCAGUGGGGAAUAUUGCACAAUGGGCGGAAGCCUGAUGCAGCAACGCCGCGUGCGGGAUGACGGCCUUCGGGUUGUAAACCGCUUUCGCCUGUGACGAAGCGUGAGUGACGGUAAUGGGUAAAGAAGCACCGGCUAACUACGUGCCAGCAGCCGCGGUGAUACGUAGGGUGCGAGCGUUGUCCGGAUUUAUUGGGCGUAAAGGGCUCGUAGGUGGUUGAUCGCGUCGGAAGUGUAAUCUUGGGGCUUAACCCUGAGCGUGCUUUCGAUACGGGUUGACUUGAGGAAGGUAGGGAAGAAUGGAGUUCCUGGUGGAGCGGUGGAAUGCGCAGAUAUCAGGAGGAACACCAGUGGCGAAGGCGGUUCUCUGGGCCUUUCCUGACGCUGAGGAGCGAAAGCGUGGGGAGCGAACAGGCUUAGAUACCCUGGUAGUCCACGCUGUAAACGGUGGGUACUAGGUGUGGGGUCCAUUCCACGGGUUCCGUGCCGUAGCUAACGCUUUAAGUACCCCGCCUGGGGAGUACGGCCGCAAGGCUAAAACUCAAAGGAAUUGACGGGGCCCCGCACAAGCGGCGGAGCAUGCGGAUUAAUUCGAUGCAACGCGUAGAGCCUUACCUGGGUUUGACAUGGAUCGGGAGUGCUCAGAGAUGGGUGUGCCUCUUUUGGGGUCGGUUCACAGGUGGUGCAUGGCUGUCGUCAGCUCGUGUCGUGAGAUGUUGGGUUAAGUCCCGCAACGAGCGCAACCCUUGUUCACUGUUGCCAGCACGUUAUGGUGGGGACUCAGUGGAGACCGCCGGGGUCAACUCGGAGGAAGGUGGGGAUGACGUCAAGUCAUCAUGCCCCUUAUGUCCAGGGCUUCACGCAUGCUACAAUGGCUGGUACAGAGAGUGGCGAGCCUGUGAGGGUGAGCGAAUCUCGGAAAGCCGGUCUCAGUUCGGAUUGGGGUCUGCAACUCGACCUCAUGAAGUCGGAGUCGCUAGUAAUCGCAGAUCAGCAACGCUGCGGUGAAUACGUUCCCGGGGCU